AAUCAACGCUGGCGGCGUGCCUCAGACAUGCAAGUCGAACGAUUAAAGCUCUCCUCGGAGAGUGUAUAGAGUGGCGCACGGGUGAGUAACACGUAAGUAAUCUACCUUCGAGUGGGGAAUAACGUCCGGAAACGGACGCUAAUACCGCAUAAUGCAGCGGCAUCGCAAGAUGACAGUUGUUAAAGAUUUAUCGCUUGAAGAGGAGCUUGCGGCAGAUAGCUAGUUGGUAAGGUAAUGGCUUACCAAGGCUACGAUCUGUAACCGGUCUAAGAGGACGGUCUGUCACA
rnacentral:rRNA from 1 species